UACAGAGGUCUCGAGCGUUUGUUCGGAUUCAUUGGGCGUAAAGGGCGCGUAGGCGGCGGGGUAAGUCUGGUGUGAAAUCUCGGAGCUCAACUCCGAAAUUGCACUGGAUACUGCUCUGCUAGAGGGCUGGAGAGGAGAUCGGAAUUCACGGUGUAGCAGUGAAAUGCGUAGAUAUCGUGAGGAAGACCAGUGGUGAAGGCGGAUCUCUGGACAGCUCCUGACGCUGAGGCGCGAAGGCUAGGGGAGCAAACGGG
rnacentral:rRNA from 1 species